rnacentral:rRNA from 1 species
AAUGAACGCUGGCGGCGUGCUUAACACAUGCAAGUCGUGCGCGAAGGCGGCUUCGGCUGCCGGAGAGCGGCGAACGGGUGAGUAACACGUGGGUAAUCUACCUGGGAGUGGGGGAUAACCUGGGGAAACUCGGGCUAAGACCGCAUACGAUGCUGGGACUUCGGUCCUGUUCUGAAAGCUGGCCUCUGCUUGCAAGCUAGCGCUCCCAGAGGACGCCCGCGGCUGAUUAGCUGGUUGGUGGGGUAAUGGCCUACCAAGGCGACGAUCAGUAGCCGGCCUGAGAGGGUGAUCGGCCACACUGGAACUGAGACACGGUCCAGACUCCUACGGGAGGCAGCAGGUGGGGAAUAUUGGACAAUGGGCGCAAGCCUGAUCCAGCAACGCCGCGUGAGUGAAG